UAGACACCAAAGCAGACCAUGUUAAUUACCCCUAAACAAAGGCCCGAACAAUAUUGAACCCUGCUCUAAUGUCUUCGGUUGGGGCGACCACGGAGAAACAAAAAACCCCCGCGUGGAAUAGGGAUACUAUCCCCACAGUCACGAGCUUCCGCUCUAUUAAACAGAACCUCUGACCAACCAGAUCCGGCAAUGCCGACCAACGGACCAAGUUACCCUAGGGAUAACAGCGCAAUCCCCUUUUAGAGCCCAUAUCGACAAGGGGGUUUACGACCUCGAUGUUGGAUCAGGACAUCCUAAUGGUGCAGCCGCUAUUAAG
rnacentral:rRNA from 1 species